UCGAGCGGAAGGCCCUUCGGGGUACUCGAGCGGCGAACGGGUGAGUAACACGUGAGCAACCUGCCCCAAGCUUUGGGAUAACCCUCGGAAACGGGGGCUAAUACCGAAUAUUACUGUUGGCCGCAUGGCUGGUGGUGGAAAGUUUUUCGGCUUGGGAUGGGCUCGCGGCCUAUCAGCUUGUUGGUGGGGUGAUGGCCUACCAAGGCGACGACGGGUAGCCGGCCUGAGAGGGCGACCGGCCACACUGGGACUGAGACACGGCCCAGACUCCUACGGGAGGCAGCAGUGGGGAAUAUUGCACAAUGGGCGGAAGCCUGAUGCAGCGACGCCGCGUGAGGGAUGACGGCCUUCGGGUUGUAAACCUCUUUCAGCAGGGACGAAGCGAGAGUGACGGUACCUGCAGAAGAAGCACCGGCCAACUACGUGCCAGCAGCCGCGGUAAGACGUAGGGUGCGAGCGUUGUCCGGAUUUAUUGGGCGUAAAGAGCUCGUAGGCGGCUUGUCGCGUCGACCGUGAAAACUUGGGGCUCAACUCCAAGCCUGCGGUCGAUACGGGCAGGCUAGAGUUCGGUAGGGGAGACUGGAAUUCCUGGUGUAGCGGUGAAAUGCGCAGAUAUCAGGAGGAACACCGGUGGCGAAGGCGGGUCUCUGGGCCGAUACUGACGCUGAGGAGCGAAAGCGUGGGGAGCGAACAGGAUUA
rnacentral:rRNA from 1 species